CAGUCGCCGCGGUAAUACGGAGGGUGCAAGCGUUACUCGGAAUCACUGGGCGUAAAGGACGCGUAGGCGGAUUAUCAAGUCUCUUGUGAAAUCUAACGGCUUAACCGUUAAACUGCUUGGGAAACUGAUAAUCUAGAGUAAGGGAGAGGCAGAUGGAAUUCUUGGUGUAGGGGUAAAAUCCGUAGAGAUCAAGAAGAAUACCCAUUGCGAAAGCGACCUGCUGGAACUUAACUGACGCUAAUGCGUGAAAGCGUGGGGAGCGAACAGGAUUAGAUACCCGGGUAGUCCCUGUCUCUUAUAA
rnacentral:rRNA from 1 species